rnacentral:tRNA from 1 species
CGGCCGGCGGUCAGCGGGGGUGGUGCGCGGUCACCUGGACCGCGACGGUCACCGUGGCCGGUUCCGGGAGUUCGUCGAUCCGCCGGUCGA